AUUGAACGCUGGCGGCAUGCUUUACACAUGCAAGUCGAACGAGUGGCGCACGGGUGAGUAAUACAUCGGGCCGUCUCCUAUCGUGGGGGAUAACUUAUCUAAAGAUCAGCUAAUACCGCAUACGCUUGGAGCGGCCGAUGCCCGAUUAGCUAGUUGGGGAGGUAAAGGCUCACCAAGGCGACGAUCUGUAGCUGGUCUGAGAGGACGACCAGCCACACUGGGACUGAGACACGGCCCAGACGCCUACGGGAGGCAGCAGUGGGGAAUUUUGGACAAGGGGGGCAACCCUGAUCCAGCCAUGCCGCGUGAAGGAAGAAGGUCUUCGGAUUGUAAACUGCUUUUUUCAUGGAAGCGGUACCUGAAGAAUAAGCACCGGCUAACUACGUGCCAGCAGCCGCGGUAAUUC
rnacentral:rRNA from 1 species